rnacentral:rRNA from 1 species
UACAGAGGUCUCAAGCGUUGUUCGGAUUCAUUGGGCGUAAAGGGUGCGUAGGCGGUCUGUUGCGUCGGCUGUGAAAACCCGGGGCUCAACUCCGGGCCUGCAGCCGAUACGGGCAGACUAGAGUUCGGCAGGGGAGACUGGAAUUCCUGGUGUAGCGGUGAAAUGCGCAGAUAUCCGGAAGAACACCUGAGGCGAAGGCGGCUUGCUGGGCCUGAUCUGACGCUGAGGCGCGAAAGCGUGGGGAGCAACAGG